UACGGAGGGUGCAAACGUUGCUCGGAAUCAUUGGGCGUAAAGCGCACGUAGGCGGACCGCUAAGUCGGAUGUGAAAGCCCUCGGCUUAACCGAGGAAGUGCAUUCGAAACUGACAGUCUUGAGUAUGGAAGAGGGUCGCGGAAUUCCCGGUGUAGAGGUGAAAUUCGUAGAUAUCGGGAGGAACACCGGUGGCGAAGGCGGCGACCUGGGUAGAUACUGACGCUGAGGUGCGAAAGCGUGGGGAGCAAACAGG
rnacentral:rRNA from 1 species